rnacentral:lncRNA from 1 species
UGGGCAUGCUCCAAUGCCAGUUCCUCAGGGUGACUCUGGCUGCUACGGAGAGCAAACUCAAAUGUGCCACGUGGUCUUUCAAGAUGAGAAGGAUGUGAAAUAUGAUUUCCCAGUUGAUCUUCUCUCACUACACGGACUAUGCUUACAUGAGAAAAAUAUAAACCUAGUGAGUGAAAUGAAUGACAUAAAAACAGAGAAGGCAGAAGUCACAACUUCAGUGUGGAUGCUGUGCACAGCAGAGGAUAAUGGAGACCAGGCAAAAAUUUUCUGAUGCUAAGAAGCUAUAAUUUGGUAAAGAAACAAAGGAUUGAAAAAGUAAGUGAAGAAGAUGGCCGAAUAGGAACAGCUCCAGUCUACAGCUCCCAGCGUGAGCAACACAGAAGCCAGGUGAUUUCUGCAUUUCCAUCUGAGGUACCGGGUUCAUCUCACUAGGGAGUGCCAGAGAGUGGGCGCAGGUCAGUGGGUGCGCGCACCGUGCGCAAGCAGAAGCAGGGCGAGGCAUUGCCUCACUCAGGAAGCGCAAAGGGUCAGGGAGUUCCCUUUCCUAGUCAAAGAAAGGCGUGACGGUCGGCACCUGGAAAAUCAGGUCACUCCCACCCGAAUACUGCGCUUUUCCGACGGGCUUAAAAAAUGGCGCACCACGAGAUUAUAU